ensembl:lncRNA
AUCCCGGAAAUGUUCCAUAUGUACAAAAAGCUUAUUUCUCUUAAAUUUGUUUACACCCCUGUUAGUGAGCAUUUCUCCUUUGACAGUAUAAUCCAUCCACCUGACAGGUGUGGCAUAUCAAGAAGCUGAAUAAACAGCAUGAUCAUUACACAGGUAAUGACAAUAAACGGCCACUCUAAAAUGUACAGUUUUUCCACACAACACAAUGCCACAGACAUCUCAAGUUUUGAGGGUGCGUGCAAUUGGCAUGCUGACUCCAGGAAUGUCCAACAGAACUGUUGCCACAGAAUGUAAUGUUAAUUUCUCUACCAUAAGCCGCCACCAACUUAAUUUUAGAGAAUUAGGCAGUACAUCCAACCGGCCUCAAAACCGCAGACCACGUGUAACCAUGUCAGCCCAGGACCUCCACAUCUGGCUUCUUCCCCUAUGGGAUCGUCUGAGGAGGGGGGGGUGCUGAGGAGUAUUUCUGUCUGUAAUAAAGCCCUUUUGUUGGGAAAAACUCAUUAUGAUUAGCUGGGCCUGGCUCCCCAGUAGGUGGACCUGGCUCCCUAGUGGGUGGGCCCAUGCCUUCCCAGGCCCACCCAUGGCUACGCCCCUGCCCAGUCAUAUGUUUGGUUCACUUCCUCAUCUAGUCGUAGGCUGUCAAAGACAAUCAUAUUAACAAAUGAAAUGCUUGUCCAUGAUCUGUUAUGCUAGAUGUUUAUUUGCUAUUUUUAUCUUCCUGUUCAGCCUGUUCUCUCUCUCCCCUGUUAUGUAACAGACUGGUUAACAUUGGUUUGUCUUCUUCCUUAAGACCAUAGGGAGUCAGGAUAUACUGAUUUAGAGUGUUGUACAAUGUGUUGCUAUAAGAAUGUCAGCUGUUUUAUACAAUGUGUUGCCAUAAGAAUGUCAGCUGUGUUAUACAAUGUGUUGCUAUAAGAUUGUCAGCUGUGUCAUACAAUGUGUUGCUAUAAGAUUGUCAGCUGUGUCAUACAAUGUGUUGCUAUAAGAAUGUCAGCUGUGUUAUAUGUUUUGCUUCCGUGUUGAUUUGUAGUGGGCAUCUACUGUAAGAACAAGCUAGAUGACUCUGAGGAGUGUCAACCCAACAUACACACGCACACACAGACACACGCAGACACAAAGAGAAACACAAACAUUCACAUACAGAACACUGGAUGGAACAUACCAUUUCCUGUUUAGAAUUCCGCAGCAGAACAUUUCGGAGUGGUGGUAGUGGUAGACGCAGCAGAGCAAGACCCUGGGAAGAGGCCGGUUGUCACCUUGGCCUUGGUACUGCUGUCCGGCUCAGGGUCAUGCCUGGGAACCUGUGGUGUCAGGAGCUCCUGUGGGAUCACAACUUGGAAUAUUAUGGGAAAAGCCCACAGGUUCCACUUUACAUAUUCCCACAGGAGACUGCUGACCUGCUACUGACCCCUCUGACAGCUAACAUCAAUCUGACAGUUAGAUCAGCAGAUGGAUGGCUGGAUGGAUGGAAGAAAAGAAGGACGUACAGUUGAAGUCGGAAGUUUACAUACACUUAUGUUGGAGUCAUUAAAACUUGUUUUUCAACCACUCCACAAAUUUCUUGUUUACAAACUAUAGUUUCGGCAAGUAGGUUAGGACUUUAGGUCAUGCACUUCUACUUUGUGCAUGACACAAGUAAUUUUUCCAACAAUUGUUUACAGACAGAUUAUUUCACUUAUAAUUCACUGUAUCACAAUUCCAGUGGGUCAGAAGUUUAC